CAGAGGUCCCAAGCGUUGUUCGGAUUCACUGGGCGUAAAGGGUGCGUAGGUGGUGAGGUAAGUCGGAUGUGAAAGCUCGGAGCUCAACUCCGAAAUGGCAUUGGAAACUACCUUGCUCGAGGGUUGGAGGGGGGACUGGAAUACUUGGUGUAGCAGUGAAAUGCGUAGAUAUCAAGUGGAACACCAGUGGCGAAGGCGAGUCCCUGGACAACUCCUGACACUGAGGCACGAAAGCUAGGGGAGCAAACAGGAUUAGAUACCCUGGUAGUCCUAGCCGUAAACGGUGCACGUUUGCUGUAAGAGGAAUCGACCCCUCUUGUGGCGUAGCCAACGCGUUAAACGUGCCGCCUGGGAAGCACGGUCGCAAGAUUA
rnacentral:rRNA from 1 species